rnacentral:rRNA from 1 species
GGGGGCCUACGGGAGGCAGCAGUGAGGAAUAUUGGACAAUGGGUGAGAGUCUGAUCCAGCCAUGCCGCGUGAAGGAUGACGGCCCUAUGGGUUGUAAACUUCUUUUGUAUAGGAAUAAACCUUUCCACGUGUGGAAAGCUGAAGGUACUAUACGAAUAAGCACCGGCUAACUCCGUGCCAGCAGCCGCGGUAAUACGGAGGGUGCAAGCGUUAUCCGGAUUUUCUGGGUUUAAAGGGU